rnacentral:rRNA from 1 species
AUUGAACGCUGGCGGCAGGCCUAACACAUGCAAGUCGAACGGUAACAGGAAGAAGCUUGCUUCUUUGCUGACGAGUGACGGACGGGUGAGUAAUGUCUGGGAAACUGCCUGAUGGAGGGGGAUAACUACUGGAAACGGUAGCUAAUACCGCAUAACGUCGCAAGACCAAAGAGGGGGACCUUCGGGCCUCUUGCCAUCGGAUGUGCCCAGAUGGGAUUAGCUAGUAGGUGGGGUAACGGCUCACCUAGGCGACGAUCCCUAGCUGGUCUGAGAGGAUGACCAGCCACACUGGAACUGAGACACGGUCCAGACUCCUACGGGAGGCAGCAGUGGGGAAUAUUGCACAAUGGGCGCAAGCCUGAUGCAGCCAUGCCGCGUGUAUGAAGAAGGCCUUCGGGUUGUAAAGUACUUUCAGCGGGGAGGAAGGGAGUAAAGUUAAUACCUUUACUCAUUGACGUUACCCGCAGAAGAAGCACCGGCUAACUCCGUG